UAGGGAAUCUUCCACAAUGGACGAAAGUCUGAUGGAGCAACGCCGCGUGAGUGAAGAAGGUCUUCGGAUCGUAAAGCUCUGUUGUUGGUGAAGAAGGAUAGAGGCAGUAACUGGUCUUUAUUUGACGGUAAUCAACCAGAAAGUCACGGCUAACUACGUGCCA
rnacentral:rRNA from 1 species